UACGUAGGGACCGAGCGUUGUCCGGAAUCAUUGGGCGUAAAGAGCGUGUAGGCGGCUGACCAAGUCCUGCGUGAAAUCUUGCGGCUCAACCGCAAGCGGUCGUGGGAAACUGGUCGGCUAGAGUGCGGGAGAGGAGAGUGGAAUUCCUGGUGUAGCGGUGAAAUGCGCAGAUAUCAGGAGGAACACCGAUGGCGAAGGCAGGUCUCUGGGCCACUACUGACGCUGAGAAGCGAAAGCAUGGGGAGCGAACAGG
rnacentral:rRNA from 1 species